GGCAACGUGACGGAGUGGUUAACGUGAUCGCCUCGAAAUCUAAACCGUAAGCGAUUUCCUUCGGGAGCGCAGGUUCGAAUCCUGCCGUUGUCG
rnacentral:tRNA from 3 species